rnacentral:rRNA from 1 species
GGUUAAGCGACUAAGCGUACACGGUGGAUGCCCUGGCAGUCAGAGGCGAUGAAGGGCGUGCUAAUCUGCGAUAAGCGCCGGUAAGGUGAUAUGAACCGUUAUAACCGGCGAUACCCGAAUGGGGAAACCCAGUGUGAUUCGUCACACUAUCAUUAACUGAAUCCAUAGGUUAAUGAGGCGAACCGGGGGAACUGAAACAUCUAAGUACCCCGAGGAAAAGAAAUCAACCGAGAUUCCCCCAGUAGCGGCGAGCGAACGGGGAGGAGCCCAGAGC